UCCCCGGCCUGAUGGUCUAGUGGCUAGGAUCCGACGCUUUCACCGUCGUGGCCCGGGUUCGAUUCCCGGUCAGGGAA